AUGAACGCUGGCGGCGUGCCUAAUACAUGCAAGUCGAGCGAACAGAUGAGGAGCUUGCUCCUCUGACGUUAGCGGCGGACGGGUGAGUAACACGUGGAUAACCUACCUAUAAGACUGGGAUAACUUCGGGAAACCGGAGCUAAUACCGGAUAAUAUAUUUAACCGCAUGGUUCAAUAGUGAAAGACGGGUUUGCUGUCACUUAUAGAUGGAUCCGCGCCGCAUUAGCUAGUUGGUAAGGUAACGGCUUACCAAGGCAACGAUGCGUAGCCGACCUGAGAGGGUGAUCGGCCACACUGGAACUGAGACACGGUCCAGACUCCUACGGGAGGCAGCAGUAGGGAAUCUUCCGCAAUGGGCGAAAGCCUGACGGAGCAACGCCGCGUGAGUGAUGAAGGUCUUCGGAUCGUAAAACUCUGUUAUUAGGGAAGAACAAAUGUGUAAGUAACUAUGCACGUCUUGACGGUACCUAAUCAGAAAGCCACGGCUAACUACGUG
rnacentral:rRNA from 1 species